CCUGUCCCAGCGCCGGAAACGAGAGAGAGCUGGGAGGGGGAGUAUGCCUAUUCUUAAAUGUGGAUCACAGAGGUGAUCACAACUUUAAGUGGCUUAGAGACUUGUCCAUAUUCAAACUGGCCGGCUGAUAGGUUCAAUCAGUUCCCAGAGGAAACUGUAAGCACCCCUUAGCAAGGACGUCCCUUCCGGGACUAUGCUUGCUAACCUAUGACAAGGGUAUAGCAUAUCAAGAGAAACUGAUUGAGUGUUUCAAGUAAAGAAUAUCUUGGUUUAACUACUGUUAGUAUCUACUCCAGGAAUGAUACUUCAAAUUAUGAGACGUUGUCAUUAAAGGACAUGUAAUCCCUGACAUUAUGAAACUACAUUUCUUUUUUUUGUUUUCUUUUUCCAAUAGUAUGUCUUUAAUUUGUAAAUUUUAGUUCGGUGAACUCAAAUUAUUUAAUUAUUUGACGAUUCCGGUCACAAGAAACCUUUCUGGUGACUUUAAUUUUGUUUAAUGUCUCCCUCUGGAGCAUGCUCUGUAUUGUCCCAUUGCCAAACCGGAAGCCAGCAGAGAAAAUCCAUCGGCAUGGGAGAAGUGCUUCGUGGGAUUUCUGUUGGUAUGGCUGUAUAAAGAAGACAACCUGCAGCCAGAGAGAGGAGUGAGAAGGUGUGAGAGGAACAGCCCUGCAGACACCAAGGUCAGUGCAGAAGGAGAGAGAGGAAGCACUUCAGGCACCAGAGCAGAAAUUUCCCUGAAAUCUGUGGUGUACACCAUGGUGAGGCAGCUGUGGCACUGCAGUGCUUGAAGAUCCAUGAGACCUGUAGUCUGUGGGAGACCCCACACUGGAGCAGGUGGAUACCCAAAGGAGGUAUUUUUCUGGAAGAUGAAGUCUCAGUUUGGGACCCACGAUUAAUCUAUCAAGGUAAGAGAUUUUUAGGUGAAAUAUGUAUUUAAAUUUAGUAUCGGACAUAUUGGAGCAAGGUGUUCCUUUGACUUGCAUUUAUAGAGUGUGCUCCGGCUAUGUUAUAAAGUGAAAUCUCUAUUGAAUUGAAUUGACUAUGAUUAAGCUGCUUCACAGAAGUAGCUGUAAAAUAAUUUUAACCUAAAAGGCUGUAUGUUUUUGUUGACUUUGAAAAAUGUAUGUGAUAAGCUUUUAUUUGGUGGGCUUGUCAAUAGCUUUAUGAAGGGUUACUUGGAGAAAGCCUUGGCUUAAUUUAUUUUCUGGGCUGUAAUGAAACAAGAUUUAAAAGGACAGGAAAAUUCCACAGUUGGUUUGGAUCAAUCAAACAUAAUUUUAUUGAAUAGUUGAUGCUGUUCAUUGAAAAAGUCAGUCUUUUUCUAUGUCACUACUUACAGAGUUACUGAAGACAGUAAUUGUAUGUAUGGCUUCAUGAAUAGAUGAAGUUAAUGUUAUCAACAGCAGAUAUAGUCCAAUUAUUUACAAACUUGUUUUCUCAAAUGACAUAAGAAGUGCUCAAGUUCCAGAUUCAACACUUUUAGAAGUCCUUAGAAGAACCCAGGAGCAAGGAAAGCUUACAUGUAUGCAUCACUACCUUAAGCCAAAUAUGUGCCAUUCCUGAUUAUAGGUAAGGGAAAAGACUCUUUGGAAUACGAACUCUUCCUGCAUGGAAUUUUCUAAGUCAAGGAUAUGAAGGAAGGAUAUAUGAAUCUGCUUUAGGCCUGCUUCAUGGUAGAGAGCCUUGCAAUGCACUGAAGCAUGUAAUCAUAGAUUAAGAAAUAGGUGUUUUUUUGAGAGAAAACUUUCAAAACCCAUUCUAAAUGGCAGUAAACUAGGUUCUUCUAUAGUUUAUAAUAGUCACGAUUAUUCUAGAAUCAGGUCUGCUGAUAUCUUUUUUUAUAAUAGCACAUUUAAUAAAAUAUCAUCUCAAUAUGUUGUGUGUCAUUAAACAAGAAAAUUGUGAGGUUUAUUUUUCACUUCACAAUAAUUUGAGUAUUAAAAUGUUACAGGAAAAAAAAAAAGAAAAUAAAUACUUGCAGAAAUCCCCUGAAAAGAAGCAGAUCUGAUGAAAAAAAAAAAGAAAUGCGACUGCAUGUACAGGAGCUCCAGCAGAUGAAGCCUUUGAUAUACUAAUGCCAGUGUUACAGGACAGGAAAAGUGGUGGUUACUUUUAAUGCUAAAAGUAAAAAUGCAAAGAUUUUGUGAAGUGUUCCUAUAUAUAUGUACAGAUGACUGUGUAUAUACAUAGGUACACAAUUCUCUGUGUGGUUCUGCAUGACUGUCUACAUAGAUAUUUUCAUUAAAUGAUCAGAGUGGGAAAGAUGCAGAGCAAGUCACUUGAAAAUACAUGUGCAUGACUAAAUAUUUCAUGACAGCAUAUUCUCUUUGCAGACGUACACUAUCUCAUACAGUGGACCAGAUGUGCUGACUGUGUUACACUGAUCACUGUUUUAUCUUAUAUUAAUUGAUCAAGCUAUGGCCUUGUAGUUUAUUACUACUCUGAAAAUAAAACUAAUAAUUCUCUUGUGCUGUUUCCAUCACAAUCAUCAUAUGAAAUGUAAGGCUUUCUAACAUACUAACUUAGUUUCACAAAAAUACUGUUAGAAGCACUGUUUUUAUCCUCAUUGCACCUCUUGGGGACUGAGACACACAGAGAUGUCUACUAAAGACUAAGCCUUUUCAAAAUAGUUUUUAUUAUAUAUCACAGAUGGAGAUGGUUGGUGCUUCAGAAAAAAAGAGCCUGGGGCAGCUGGUCAGAUAUCCUGAAAAUAAGAAACAUGCAGUUUAGUUACAACUAUUGAAAAUCUUCAAGUUAGUUAUGCAUAAUCAGAUUGUCAUUCAGAGGCAAGUGCAGGAAUAAAUCAAGGGCAAUCAUUGAGCUGAUCUGUGACGCCAGCUUUACUUUUCCUCAUUCAGCACUCAUAGUGCCUGAGUAAAGCUCUUAGAAAAAGGAGGGGCUCCUUCUGUGCAUUCCUGGCCCAAUCUUGGUGCCUGCUCCCUCCUGUGCCUUUAGAGGGGAGUCCCCUCUCUAGAGUAUAUCUAGACCAGCCAGGAGGAAGGGUUGUUGAACCUCCAGGGGAAAAGGGUAAGGACUUGAGUAUUUCACAUUCUCUUGUGUGUGACUGAUAGUCAUAGCUUGGAAACCCACCCCUGGUUUGGGUACUUUAAUUGUGCUUUGGACUGUAAAUGACUAGCUCAUACUUUGUGUUCUGAAUGGAACUGCUUUUUAGAGAAUGAAACAAGUAAUUGGAGAGCUCCAUAAAGGCUGCUGUCUCCAGCCUGAGACAGACCAAGUGCACAAUUUUCACUAAGUGCAUGAUUAAAUUUGAUGAUGUACCCAAAGGCAACAUUUCAUAUUUCAUUAAAGCUUCUGUUUUAGCUUGAACUUGGUCACCCAAGAGAUUGCGCUGUUUCGAGUAUGUGCUGUGUAUGGCAGGUAUAGUGGUAAUGAUUGUGAUUCUCCACAUGAGGCUGCUGUGGAUUUCUGUGCCUGGAAAAGUAGGUGAUCGCUAUGCCCACACACAAUAUCCAGAAGUAUGGUGCAUCAGACAAUAGAGACUAGACUAGACAAGUAGGAAGAGAUUAGUAGGGUGAAAUGAACAAAGUUCAAAGAUCUGGAAGAAAUGAACAAAGUAAAAUGAGGAAGAAUAGGAAAGACUAUAGUAAAUAUCCCAAACAAUUUUCUGACAGAUUAUUUAUUUAUUCAUGCUGGACCCUGCUUCAUUGAAGAUAAUACUUGCCAUAAAAAUGUUGAAUGUCAAGGGGUUUUCUGCAGAAGAUGAGAGGAAUGCAAAGUCCUGUAAGA
rnacentral:lncRNA from 13 species